CAUCACCCUCCUCUUGGGGAUGCAGGAUUGGGGGGAUGGAGGGCGAGGAACCGCUGCUCUCCGCUCUCCAAAAAGGCAGAGCCAGCACGGGAGUGGUGUGGGAUGUGAGGAACGCGCACACACACACAGGGCGCGAUGCAGGGUUCUGAGGCUUUGAAUGCGUUUCACAGCCUCUCGAUGCCCCUAAAGUCCCUGCUGCCCCGCAGCCUGAGAUUCCAUGGGGGGUUGUGCUUCGCCAUGCUUCACCCAGCAGCAGGAGGUACCCGGUUUGCCUGAGCCUGCCAGGAGCCACAGGGGACGCCUGUCCUCGGCCACCUCCAUACCGGGGACUUGAGGUUUCCCGGUCUUACUGCGGGAGCUUGGUGGGGCUCAGGGUGCGCAGCCGGCGGGGAGAGAUGCUCCAAGACCGCGGGUGCUCUGGCCGGGAUGGAAGAGCCAUGAGCUGCCCUGGAGUGAAGGGAAGAAGGGUUUAGGGACCCCCGGCUCCGGGGUGGUUCUGGGAAAGGAGCCGGGUGCACUUGUUCUCCCCUCCGACGCAUUGUGUUAACACCGAUUUCUCUUAUUUGGCGUCUUUUAUCUACUUAUUUUUAUUGUGUUCGCAAAAAUUGAAAUUUUAAAAAAUUCAAACCCGCCCCACCAAACAAAUUUCUCCUCUCUCCAAAGCGUAAAUAGAAAAAAUAAAUUCUCCUCUAAAUGUUUCUCGCGGCAGCGCUCCAGGGAGGGUUGAUGGCAACGAGCUCCGCUGCCUUGUCCGCAGGCAGGACCGGGCCGGGGCUGCCUGUGCCUCACCCGAGUGCGGGCAGGAAGGUUCGGCAAGGCACGGCACCGCUAUAAAAAAAAAAAAUCACCACUGUGAACAACCCGAAAUAACCUCAAAAAUCCGCCGUUUCAGCAGAGCUGAAUGCAAUGCAUAAGUCGGAAUGGGAUGUGUAUAGUAUUUUUUUUUUCAUUCCCUAGGUUUUUUGUUUUUAUGUCUGUCAGAGAACCAUCCCCAUCCAGGUGUGCCCCGUCGGGGUCCGGUACCAGAGGUGGGAGCUGCGACUUCUCCCCCUGCUUCUUGGAGACCCCACUCCCCGCCGGGAACUCAAUGCUGUCUGUCGGAUAAUGGGGCGGUGGGACUUUGUUUAACCCCAUUGCCCCGGGGGCCAGGGGUCAAGGGCUUCCUCUUCCCCCGGGACACGGCGGAGACGGCGGAGACGCCGUUGGUCACAACAGGAGGACCGUGGCGAAGAGGGGGAUGUGAUGGCCGCAGUGUCCCCCUGUCCCCGCCGCGGCCCUCCCUGUGCGAUCGGCGUGGGAUCCCGUAAACCUCCAUCUCUCCCCGGCGUCGAGACGCUGAGAAGGGCUCCAGCUGGAGCAGGACGUUUUUAACGGGGUGCCGGUUUUAAUGGGGUUUCACCCCCGCCCUCCACAGAUAGAGAUGUCUCAGCUGCCCCCCCGGAGCCAAGAAACGGGAGAAACGGGCGAUUUUUAUAGGUGACGUACGGGCUUACGUGGGAAUCCGUGCCCAGCACUGCUUUUUCAGCUUUUUUUCUCCUGAAAUAACCUUUCCGUGAAGCUCGUACCCCCCUAUUCCAGCUCGCAACCCCUUUUCCAGGCUGGGGAGGAGUCGGGAAAGAGAGAAGGAAAAGAGAAAAGAAAAGCACCCCCGACAUCCAGCUCUCUCCCUGGUCGGGAAGCGAGCCCCGGAGCUCCCAAAGUGAGCGCUGAAGAGGGCGACGGGAGACAGGCGGGAGCCGGCUCCGAGGUGGAGGGGUCGGGGGUGGGAUGAGAGUAGAGGAGGACCCUCCUUUUCAGGAUUAAGGGAGAACCAGCGAAGGAGGGAAGCUGGCGGCACCGCGGGCAUCCGAGGUUUUCGACUCUGGGUGAGCAAAAGGAUUUCUUACAUUCCCCGGCAAGAGGAGAAGACGAGCUUUUUUUUUUUUUUUUUUUUUUUUUUUUUUUUAAUGGCGUUAAUUGCUUUUAAAAUAAAAUACUACGGAAUUUGGCAACAAGCUCCGAUUUCUGCUGGCGGUGGCAUUUGGGGCUGUGUUUCCUUUCGUGGCAACUCGCAGAUGCAAAAAAGGAAAAUAACGGGGGAAUUCGAAAACACGAAUGUAAAGGCGAGGCGGCGUGUUCGGCUGUUGCAGAUCUCUCGGGCUCGAUCGGUGUAUUUUUUCCUACAUAGAAAUCCUGUCUGGGAAUCCCUGUGUGUUCAUCGGGGCAGCGAGAGUCUCCCCAGAGCCGCUCAGGGGCAUCGGUGGAGUGAAUUGGAGAUAAAAAAUUAGGAGCCAGGUUAAACGCAGGAAGGAAGAGGAGAGGUCGGAAGCGAAGUAAAGCUCCUGGCCGCCCUGCCCCGGCCGUGCCCGCACCUUGGAGCGGGCGGACGGAUGGACGGACGGAUGGCCGGCAUCCCCGACGGAGGGAUGUUUCUGUCUUUGGUUAUCUAGCUGUAUGAGUGUUGUGGAGCCAUCAUAAAGCUAGAUAACCGAAAGUAGAAAUGACUUCCAGACCUGCUCGCCCAGGGGAAGCGGCCGCACCAGGACCGGCAGUGCAGAGACGGCCCGACUCGCCGCCCUGGGGGCUCCAGAUUUGACUGAGAGUUCGUGGAGUGGGAUGCCUUGGGAAGGGCUGGGACGUCUCCACCUGAGCAAGGAGAGAUCCCAGUGAGUGGACAAGGGACUUUUGAAGCCUGUGAGUUCCUUCUUGCAGCUGGCUACCACCUGCCCGGACUUGACAUCUGACUUCUCUGAGUUUCUCCAGGAGGGUCCCAAUCUUCUUCUCCAUGGGCCCAGAGAGGAGACAGCUUUGUCCUGUGAACACAGUGGAUUUCUGCAUCGCUUCAAAACACAGCGGUGCAGCCAUGGGGAGGGAGCCAAGGCAGCACAGGGAGCCAAGGGAUCUUCCCACAUCACUCCUGUAUGUUGCCUUCGGUGCCCUCAAAAUCCAAGAGCAGGACCAAAGUGCUUAGGCAGAGAGACCUGAGCCAGCCACUGUUUCACCUGGUGAAAUACCAGCUGUGUGAAGUUUGGAGGGAGAUUUUUGGAGGCUUUGCUCAUGGAGCAGAGCUCGGCCCUUACUGCUCUUGAUCCCUGGGUCUGUGGAGCUGUGGGAGUGCAGCCUUCCCAAAGGCACUGUGCUUGGGGCUCAAAGGACCAUGAGCCUGUCCAGGCCAGGCAGCCCUGCUUGCUGUUGUACUGCACCCUCUCUGUUCCUGUAAGAGAAAUGUACUGCCUGUAAUUCUCUCCCAUUCAAAUCCCCCCCACCCCAUGCACUGUUGAAAAUAAAACUCUCCCUUUUGCAAAAGUGA